rnacentral:rRNA from 1 species
ACGCUCGACACCUACGGGAGCAGCAGUGGGGAAUAUUGCACAAUGGGGGAAACCCUGAUGCAGCGAUGCCGCGUGAAGGAAGAAGUAUCUCGGUAUGUAAACUUCUAUCAGCAGGGAAGAAAAUGACGGUACCUGACUAAGAAGCCCCGGCUAACUACGUGCCCGCAGCCGCGGUAAUCUGAGCGGGCUGGCAAGGC